rnacentral:rRNA from 1 species
UGCCAGCCGCCGCGGUAAUACGUAGGGUGCAAGCGUUAAUCGGAAUUACUGGGCGUAAAGCGUGCGCAGGCGGUUAUGUAAGACAGUUGUGAAAUCCCCGGGCUCAACCUGGGAAUUGCAUCUGUGACUGCAUAGCUAGAGUACGGUAGAGGGGGAUGGAAUUCCGCGUGUAGCAGUGAAAUGCGUAGAUAUGCGGAGGAACACCGAUGGCGAAGGCGAUCCCCUGGACCUGUACUGACGCUCAUGCACGAAAGCGUGGGGAGCAAACAGGAUUAGAUA